rnacentral:rRNA from 1 species
AGUGAGCGAAUCCCAAAAAGUGCGUCGUAGUCCGGAUUGGAGUCUGCAACUCGACUCCAUGAAGUCGGAAUCGCUAGUAAUCGUGGAUCAGAAUGCCACGGUGAAUACGUUCCCGGGCCUUGUACACACCGCCCGUCACACCAUGGGAGUGGGCUGCAAAAGAAGUAGGUAGUUUAACCUUCGGGGGGACGCUUACCACUUUGUGGUUCAUGACUGGGGUGAAGUCGUAACAAGGUAGCGCUAGGGGAACCUGGCGCUGGAUCACCUCCUUAUACGAUGAU